rnacentral:rRNA from 1 species
AUUGAACGCUGGCGGAAUGCUUACACAUGCAAGUCGAACGGUAGAGGGGGCAACCCCUCGAGAGUGGCGAACGGGUGAGUAAUAUAUCGGAACGUGCCCAGUCGUGGGGGAUAACGUAGCGAAAGUUACGCUAAUACCGCAUACGAUCUACGGAUGAAAGCGGGGGAUCGCAAGACCUCGCGCGAUUGGAGCGGCCGAUAUCAGAUUAGGUAGGUGGUGGGGUAAAGGCUCACCAAGCCAACGAUCUGUAGCUGGUCUGAGAGGACGACCAGCCACACUGGAACUGAGACACGGUCCAGACUCCUACGGGAGGCAGCAGUGGGGAAUUUUGGACAAUGGACGCAAGUCUGAUCCAGCCAUUCCGCGUGCAGGAUGAAGGCCCUCGGGUUGUAAAUUGCUUUUGUACGGAACGAAAAGGUUUCCAUUAAUACUGGGAGCUCAUGACGGUACCGUAAGAAUAAGCACCGGCUAACUACGUGCCAGCAGCCGCGGUAA